rnacentral:rRNA from 1 species
UCCACUCAAAAGAAUUACAGCCACCGCUCAAAAAAAGAAGAGGAAUUACAGACACCACACGACCUAUUCUUCCCCAAAUAGAACCCUCCCCCAAAUCGACGGCCUCCUCCUCGACCGCCGCUGCCGCCCCCUCUACCAUUGACCAUGCCCUCCACCACCACCACUUUGAUUGACAUGUACGACCCCAUCGGGAUCUAUGGCGGCGGUGCUUGGAUCUCGGCAUCGCCACCCUCGAUAUGCCUCCGAUGUGCGAGGUCGUCGUCGCCUCCCUCCCUUCGACACCAGCACCAGAACUGGUCGAUGAUGCCAGUCGCCUCCAUCUCUUAUUUACGGCCAUCACGCCAACGAGCAUAGGCGGACUCCCCACCACGGCUUCCUCCCCGCCAAUGGCGAGCAUGGUGUCCCAUCUCUACUAUGCUGGUACAAUACUUUCUCAGAUCUGUCUUGGUGGAAACCCGAUGCAUGUGAGAUCUUCCUUACCAAGGUUGUUAAUCUUUUCUUUUCUGCUCGAUGAGAACUCAUGAUGCGCGUUGUCCAGUUGUCCGUACGAAGGAAGAUUUCACCUUCCAUCGAGUUACUACUGAGCGUGUUCCUUAUUGUUUUUCCUUUUCCUACCAAAUUGAUGCAGGUGCUAUUAGUGAAAGGAUUGGAGAUUGGUUCUAGCAGUGGUUGGUUUGUUCGGGGAAUUCCUGAUGCUCGUGAUUUGUAAAGGGUUUCAGCCAGGUUAGUGUAUAUUUCAUUUUGUUAUCUUAAUAUGCAAGUAUAUGUGCCUAAUUCAUUUGCUUGUAUCCAUCCUUUUUAGUACAUGGAUCAGUCUUUAUUUAUUCAGGUUCAGACAUUGCGCAACUAAAGACUGUGUAUACUAGUCGAAGGCACGAGCUAUGCACGUGUUCUUCACUCACUUAUCCGUUUACUUGAGCAACAUUUAUUUUGAGACGGGAGUAGUAUGUAUGUUGUUGAGUGCUAAAUCACGUCCAAAGGAUUGGCAAGUUGCUGCUUCGAAACUUGGUAGAUACAAACGAUUAGUGCUCUCUACAAGCUAGUUGUUCUCGAAGUACAAGGAUGGUUACUCUAGUCAUCGUUGUUUCCCGAUCAUAGCCACAAAAGAUCUUGAAUAGCAGAGUUUCACCAGUGGGCCCAUUUGGAGCCGUCAGGAUUCCAGAAAGGUCCCGGAGUCGUUUUGGCGCCUGCCCGUACAUAGCAAAUCUAAGAAAUGUCAACCAUUAUAUCUCUUGGGUAAGGUACUUAUGAACGGUGGAUAUUCAUUUUAUGGAACAAAUCAAUGACUUGUAUUUGCUCUAGAGUCUGGGCGGACUGCUAAUCCAAAUUCAAACAAUUGUGUACUAUUGUAGUAGGGAAAUGUAGCGCUCUAUAAAGUUUUUGGUGCCUCCAUUUGAAAGAGCUAAAUUUAUAGACAUGAGUGUGGAUUUGAUAUUAAAAAUUUCUCUGCAGAAGUAGCUACUUUUCCUGCCCUGAUUUACCAUCUCUCUAAUUGUUUCAUAGGAGUUCAAUACUGAGGUAGCAUUUUUUUUCUCUCAAACUUGUGCUUGAAUGUACCAAUGAAGAGGCUCUUCACAACUCUGAUUCUUGGUGCCAAUGGUUACUCUUCCAUUUAUUAUGAUUAAGUGCUCUUUGUGCCAAUUAUGGAUGUUAAAAGAAAACGAACUUUGACUAAUGAACAUGUAGUUGGAAUGAACAAGUACCCUUGUUUAUCUCCAUUGAUCGAUUGAUGUGAGAUCAUUUAGUUCACUCGUCAUCCCGCACAUAUACUUGUACAUGUAAGAAAAGCAAUCAUAUAGAGAAUCUCUUUCUGUCUCUUCUCUGUUUGCUACAAAUAUAGACUGAAAGUGGAGUAUUGCUUCUAGAAUUUAAAGAUUUGAACUUGCAAAAGUGUUAGUUCUCUGAUAUGAAGUUUAUUAUUUAUGUUCUGUGAAAGUUGUUGUCUGAAUGUGAUAUACCCAUAUAUUAUAUAAAGAACAAGUUCACAUUGGUACCAAAAAUUAAGCUUGGACAUGUUGCUUGCCUGAAUGUGAUAUACCCAUCUAUGUUGCUUGCCUGUGCUAUCAGCUACUGUGAUAUAUCUUUCAUACUUAUAUACACAUUAUGCUUCGACAUGUGUUGUUUGUGCGAGCGGAACCAUCUAGUAUUUUGUAAUGCUUGAACUCAGGGUAGUCACUACUUGAAUAUUUCUCCAUUUAAUCGAGUAAGAACAAUUCUUCAGAACAUUUUAUCGUUUUCAUCUUCAGACAUCUUGAUAGGAUGCACCAGGGAAUGUUUGCAGUUUCAAUUUAUAUUGUAUGUAAAGGACUGUAGAUAUGCUCUCUGCCAGUGAAAACUUCUAAAUGAUCUAUGCACUAUGGCAGUGCCGCAGUGGAUACUUCUAAAUGACUGCGCACAUGUUUUAUUAAGUCUUAUCAGUAUAGGGAGUUCAAUAAUCUUUUGGUGCUAAACAAGUGGAUGCUACAACUGAAUACUAAAUCAGUAAAACACUGUAGGAGUUUUACAAGCAAGCUUUGGGUAAAAAGAUUUUUAUAUUUUGCUGUUUAUUCCCAUUGGUCGAUCGAUGUGAGAUUAUAUAGUUCAACUGUCAUCAUGCACAUAUACUGUUACAUGGAAGAAAAAUAACUAGCAAGAGAACUUAUUUAUGUCUCCUUUCAUUUUUCUGCUAAGACAGACUGAAAGUGGAGUACUCUUCUAGAGUUUAAUUGUUAUUACAUGCUGCUUUUAUAAGGUUGGGGUCUUCAAUCUAGUUUUUACUCAAUAAGUUACUGUUUCUUAAGAAUAACAUGAAGCAUGGAUUCUUAUAUGUUCCAUGUAUUAUGUCAGGGCAAGUAAUUAUCAGCUGAGCAAAGGCUACAACAUGCUAGGAGGAGAAGUUUGAAUGGAGGCAGAGAGUACACUUGGAAAUACAAUGGAAAAAGGAAGAGGAGACAAUGCUAGCGGAAGUUAAAGCAAUAAACUAUAAGCAUUUUGAAUGAUUAGGGCCUCAUAUUGUUGGGAACAUUACAACCAUGGGGAACGCUAAUUUUGGUUGCGAAUUUAGCAUAGAAGCCACUAUAUGCUCAUUUUGGUCGUCUGUCGCAUCCAAAAACAUAUGUAAUUUUCCUUUUGUUGCACAACACCCUUAUAUAUGGGCGUUUCUAGAAACAUAUGUAUUUGGUCGUUAAUUUUAUUGAAUUAUGUUAAGUUUUACGAUGAGGCCCAAAUGUGAAUUAUGAAAGUGUCAUUUGUCUUGAUU